AAACUUCUAACUGGAUGUGACAUCUGUCACCCCAUUGAUUGCCAGGGUUGUUUCAUCUGAUCUGGCUGGCUAGGCAGCUGUCUGCUUCCUCCUUAACCUCUCCAUGUGUGUCCCUGCAGAAGUUGUGCACGUAAGGGGAUGACCAUCCCCUAUAGAGGAGGACCAGUCAAGGGCAUGCCAGUAGCUGUGCUCCCCUGCUAGAACCUCCAAACAAGCUCUCAAGAGUAAGUAACAUGUGUGUUUUUGUAUAUACACAUACAUACACAUACAUACAUACAUUUUUCAAU
rnacentral:snRNA from 1 species